GCAUGCUUGCAGAAGGAGUCUCGUGUGAAAUGGUGUAGGAAUAAGAUAAUGCCCAGCUGCCUGUUAGAUGGGUAAUCUAUUUUAAUACUGGAGUGAGUAAAUGGGUUGUUAAGGAGCUGUGCUUUUUCCCUCCUCAUUAAAAAUCUUGACAUUUAA